AACGAACGCUGGCGGCAGGCCUAACACAUGCAAGUCGAGCGAGCAUUUCGGUGCUAUCUGCGGACGGCUGAGUAACGCGUGGUAACUUGCCCUUUUCUGCGGUAUAGUCGUGUUGAACAUGGGUUAAUACCGCAUACGCUCUUUUGGGGUAAGAUCUACCGGAGAAGGAUCGGCCCUCGUUGGAUUCGGUAGUUUGUGGGGUAAUCGCCCACCAAGCCGACGAUCCAUAGCUGGUUUGAGAGGAUGAUCAGCCACACUGGGACUGAGACACGGCCCAGACUGCUACGGGAGGCAGCAGUGGGGAAUCUUAGACAAUGGGGGCAACCCUGAUCUAGCCAUGCCGCGUGAGUGAUGAAGGCCUUAGGGUUGGAAAGCGCUUUCAGCUGGGAAGAUAAUGCCGGUACCAGCAGAAGAAGACCCGGCUAACUCCGUG
rnacentral:rRNA from 1 species